rnacentral:tRNA from 1 species
UAAAAAGAUAAGCUAAUUAAGCUUUUAGGUUCAUACCCUAAUUAUAGAAGUUAAAUCUUCUUCUUUUUAA